CAACAUUGUACUCGAAUUUCAUAAUCGAAACACUCUUGCUUAUUUGCCUGGUUUUUGUUCAAGCAAACAAGUCCUACAGAUGGACUGCAAAUGACAUCUUGGCCCAACUGAGUAAGGGGUAAGGUUGGAUACAUCUUGGCCCUGCAAUCAACCUUUGUUGGCUGUGUACAACCAAUACGUUUGGAAUUGAUAAGUUGUGAAAUUGAUUCAGUGUCUCCUCCAUCAGGGCCAGGUGUUGGGGAUCCAAGAUCAAUCCAGUCAGACCAUUCACAUGUGCAGUUUUUGGGAGGGGGUGCAGUUAUUGAUGAUGAUGUUGGUAAAGUGACCGUGGUACUGGGUGUUGUAGGUGUUCCGGUGGUCGUAGGUGUAGUUGUGGACGUUGUUGUUGUGGGCGUAGGUGUAGUUGUGGUUGUUGUUGGUGUCGGGGUUGUUGUCGUUGAUGUAGUCGUAGUAGUUGGCACAGUGACAGUGGUACUAGGUGUUGUAGGUGUUCCGGUGGUCGUAGGUGUAGUUGUGGACGUUGUUGUUGUGGGCGUAGGUGUAGUUGUGGUUGUUGUUGGUGUCGGAGUUGUCGUCGUCGUCGUAGUAGUUGGCACAGUGACAGUGGUACUAGGUGUUGUAGGUGUUUCGGUGGUUGUAGAUGUUGUGGACGUUGUUGUUGUGGU
ensembl:lncRNA